rnacentral:rRNA from 1 species
GACGAACGCUGGCGGCGUGCUUAACACAUGCAAGUCGAACGGAAAGGCCCUGCUUUUGUGGGGUGCUCGAGUGGCGAACGGGUGAGUAACACGUGAGUAACCUGCCCUUGACUUUGGGAUAACUUCAGGAAACUGGGGCUAAUACCGGAUAGGAGCUCCUGCUGCAUGGUGGGGGUUGGAAAGUUUCGGCGGUUGGGGAUGGACUCGCGGCUUAUCAGCUUGUUGGUGGGGUAGUGGCUUACCAAGGGUGUGACGGGUAGCCGGCCUGGGAGGGUGACCGGCCACAUUGGGACUAAGAUACGGACCAGACGCGUACGGGAGGCAGCAGUGGAGAAUAUUGCACAAUAGGCGGAAGCCUGAUGCAGCAACGCCGCGUGCGGGAUGACGGCCUUCGGGUUGUAAACCGCUUUCGACUGUGACGAAGCGUGAGUGACGGUAAUGGGUAAAGAAGCACCGGCUAACUACGUG